UCCGCCCGCUCCGCCCCUUCCACCCGGAAGGAGCCCUCGGCUUCUUUCACCCGGUUUCAUUUUCAGUUUAGGCCAGCAGUCCCCAACUUUUUUGCACCAGGAACCGGUUUUGUGACUGUUAAGGAACACAGUCUCUCGUAAUGGAGGGGGGAGAUGAUCCCUGAAACGACUGAUCAGCGGUUCCCUUUGACCCCGGCAGCUGUCUUGUGCACCACGACUUUCUCUCUCAAGCCCUUGUUCUUUGCCUGAGAACAUCCUUGGAGGCCUGAUUCCGGUAUUUCUAAGUCAUUCACCCUCUACCCAGGUCAGGAACAGCAGUCUGUGUUCUCCUUCUUAGAGACUUGGAGCCUCCUACCACAGGCUCUCACCCUGAUUUUAGAACUUUCCAAGGAGUAGAUUAUCCCAGAUUCCCCAGUCCAGGCUGAUGUCUGGGGUUUCUGCUUCCUCCUUCUAAACCAAUUGUCCUGUCCAUUCUCAGGAUGGGCAUGAGUGCUGCUUCAGUGGCCUGUGAAGGUCGCCCAAAGUGGGAAUUUUCUGAGUCUUCCUCCUCAGUAUCCCCAAAGAUGCAUGCAGCCCACCACCUCAUCUCUGCCCAUGAGGUCAUCCUGAGGUGCUGGGCCCUGGGCUUCUACCCUGCAGAUAUCGCUCUGAUCUGGCAGUGUGACAGGAAGGUCCAGAGCCAGGACAUGGAACUUGCGGAGACAAGGGCUUUCCAGAAGACGGUGGCCAUGGGCAUGCCUUCAGGAGAGGAGCUGAGAUACAUCCGCUUACUGCAACAAGCCCAUCACCCUGAGAUGGUAUAAGGAGGGGGCUCAGAGGUGGAGCUUCUCAGAGAAAGCAGAAGCCCUUCUGGACACCUUCAGCAAGGCAGUGAAAAUGGUCAGUGCUCUGAUGUGUCUUUCACGGAUCCUAAAGCUGGUAUCUGAAUGUGUCUGUGUUCCUAUAAGCAUAACGUGAGGAGGUAGGGAGACUGGCCCACCCCUGCCCACCAGGACCCCCUCUCCACAUGACCUGUGUUCUCUUCCCUGGUCAGCUUUCCUGUACCAUCAGAGGCAGGGCUGGGCCAUCUCCAUCCCUGA